GACGGAGGGUGCAAGCGUUGUUCGGAAUUACUGGGCGUAAAGGGCGCGUAGGCGGUCUGUUAAGUUCGGUGUGAAAGCCCCCGGCUCACCUGGGGAACUGCGCCGGAAACCGACAGACUCGAGUACCGGAGAGGAGGGUGGAAUUCCUGGUGUAGCGGUGAAAUGCGUAGAUAUCAGGAGGAACACCGGUGGCGAAGGCGGCCCUCUGGACCGGUACUGACGCUGAGGCGCGAAAGCGUGGGUAGCAAACGGG
rnacentral:rRNA from 1 species